rnacentral:ncRNA from 1 species
UUAAUUCCAUUUACGAACGAGACAUCAGCCUGCUAACUAGCUACACGGAGGUGAUCCUCCGUGGCUAGCUUCUUAGAGGGACUAUGGCCUUUUAGGCCACGGAAGUUUGAGGCAAUAACAGGUCUGUGGUGCCCUUGGAAAGGGGCCUAAGUCCCCUAGAAAGGGGCACCGGAGAGGGUGAGAGCCCCAUCAUGCCCGGACCCUGUCGUAUCAUGAGGCACUGUCUACAAGUCAGGUUGUUUAGGAAUGCAACCCUAAUCGGGCUGUAAAUUCCGUCUAAGGCUAAAUACGGGUGAGAGACCGAUAGCGAACAAGUACCGCGAGGGAAAGAUGAAAAGGACUUUGAAAAGAGAGUCAAAGAGUGCUUGAAAUUGUCAGGAGGAAAGCGGAUGGGGGCCGGUAAUGCGCCCCAAUCAAAGUGGAACGGUGAGAGCCGGUCUACCGAUCGGCUCGAGGUGUGGACCUACGCGGGUCGUGUCGAUGGCCCAAGCUCCGGCCUUUGAUACGCCUGUGGAGACGUUAUCGCCUCGAUCGUGGGAUCCAGCACGCACUGUCUCGGCGUACUUCGGCACCUAUGUGUUCCGGGCAUCGGCCUGCGGGCUCCCCAUUCGGCCCAUCUUGAAACACGGACUAAGGAGUCUGACAUGUGUGUGAGUCAAUGGGCUAGAAAACCUAUAAGGCGCAAGGAAGCUGAUUGGCGGGAUCCCUCACAGGUGCACCACCGACCGACCUUAAUCUUCUGAGAAGGGUUCGAGUGAGAGCAUGUAUGUUGGGACCUGAAAGAUGGUGAACUAUUCCUGAGCGGGGCGAAGCCAGAGGAAACUCUGGUGGAGGCCCGCAGCGAUACUGACGUGCAAAUCAUUCGUCUGACUUGGGUAUAGGGGCGAAAGACUAAUCGAACCGUCUAGUGUCACUGGCCAGAGUUCAAAGCCCGUGACUAUCGAACCAAAUGCAUCCGAUGAAGGUCUAUUGCUUAGAUGGGGAUCAUUUGGCCCACGUUAGCUGGCCCGAUUUAAGGAACUGUUGGAGAAGCCUGUCAGAUUGAAGCCUGGUUGGCCCGAUAGCGAAGAUAUGGUAACUUAGGAAACUAUGGUAACUAAUCUUUAAAGAUAGAGGGAAUCAUAUCUUGUAAUGAUUAGAUAGGAUUUGAUAUGGCAAUAUCUUGUAAAUCCCUUAAAUCACGGGAUUGGUUAAUCUCGUCCGUCGAUGUAAUUGUAUCUUGACCGUCGAUUUUGGGGGAGUUCAAGUAUAAAUAGAGAGCCUCCCCCUCAUUUGUACUGAGGAGAGAGUGAGAGACUCCAUUCGUUGUUUUAUUAUUCUUUGUGAAUAAGAGAAUAGGGAGCAUUUACUCAAGCACUUUGCGAGCGUCCCUUUCUGUUGUUCUUUAUAAGCUUCUUUUGGCAUAAGUCUUCCGCUGUACGAGUUGGUGCCUUGGAGUAGUUCUUAAGGAAUCCUCAUUCGAGUAAAGGCUGACUUGGGCGAGUUUGGACGAGAAAAUUGCCUAAGGCUUUACGGAUUGCGAGAAAAAAGGUCUAACCCCAUGACAAGUGGUAUCCGAGCUAGUGUUUGAACCAAGUGGUAUCCGAGCUGUUGGUUCGAAGGCACUGUUGGGAUGUCGAAAGAAGAGUUCGAACAAAGGCGGGCAAGAAAAGGUUUGAGAGAGAUGCUGUCGAUAGUAGAGGAAUGUGUGGGUAAACUCGAGGGAUCCGUGGAGGACGUAAAGGAGGCACUCGAUGGGUUCGAGGGUCACAUAGACAACUGGAAGGAACAAUCCAGAGACUAUGUAAAGAUGUCUCUUAAUUCAACCAUAUAUAAGGUAAACGAGUUGUUUGAUUCACAUAAAGAUAAACUGUUGGACAAGAACGAUUCUCUUGAAGCCAUGUUGAUGGCUUUGAAGGAGGAAACAAUGGCCACUACGCUGGCUUUAAGCACAAGAAUAGAGGAGCUCGAGGGAGAGCUGGCCUUGUGUCGAGCAGCGGUGGGAGAAGGAGUGUCAAGUGCAGCACUCAGUAAUGAGUAUGUCCCGAAGCCGAAAGAGUUUGUGGGGACAAGAUUUGUAUGUGAUGUGGACAAUUUCUUGUGGAGGAUGGAAAACUAAUUUCGUGCUAAAGGCAUCAUGGAUGAUGCGGAUAAGGUAAACACUGCAUCAUUAUUUCUUACUGAUAUUGCACUUUUAUUGUGGCGAGGUAGGACCAUGGAUAAAAGGCAAGGUAAGAUUGGAAGUAAUAGAGUUCUGAGAAUAUUUACUCAAACAUCUUGUGUGCGAUCUUUUCUGUGGCUUUUUGUUGUUCUUUUCAGGCUUCUUUUGGCAUAAGUUUGCUUCCGCUAUUCGAGUUGGUGCCUUAGAGGAGUUCUUAAGGAAUCCUUAUUCAAGUAAAUGCUGACUUGGGGGAGUUUGGAUAAGUAAAUCGCCUAAGGCCGCACGGAUUGUGAGACGAAAGGUCUAGCCCUAUGACAAGUGGUAUCAAAGCUAUUCGUUCGAAGGCACUAUUGGGAUGUCGAAAGAAGAGUUUGAACAAAGGCGGGCAAGAAAAGGUUUGAGGGAGAUGCUGUCGGCAGUAGAUGAACCUUAAAAUUAUGAACUCGUUUGAUUUGGCUAACUUUCACCCGAUCAGUCUUUGCAGGGUGAUUUACAAGAUGGUUUCUAUGACCCUGGUGAAUAGGCUUAAAGAGGUCCUCCCCAUGUGCAUUAGCCAAAACCAGAGUGCCUUCGUUCCCAACCGGAUGAUCGAUGACAAUAUUUUAGUCUCCCAUGAGCUCAUGCACUAUCUCUGAAUCUCCAAGAAUGGUCCGAACAAGGGUUGUGUGGUCAAGCUUGACAUGAGCAAGCCUAUGAUCGAGUAGAGUGGAGUUUUCUUGAGAAAGUGAUAACUAAAAUAUGUUUUUCUAAUGUUUGGAUCUCUAGAAUUAUGGAUUGUGUGUGCACUGUCCGGUAUAGAGUUAAAUGUAAUACGACUCUGUCCGAUGUUAUUAUCCCGGAGAGGGGUCUUCGACAAGGGGACCCUUUGUCCCCUUAUUUGUUUUCGUUUUGUAUAGAUGCUUUCUCUCGCAUGUUGCUCUAUGCACAAGAGCUUAAGAAUAUUAAAGGCGUUCGGGCUAGUAGGCAGGGCCCUAGGAUUAACCAUCUAUUUUUUACUGAUGAUGCGCUUUUGUUUUUCAGGAAUAAUCAAAAGGAGGUGGAGGCGUUCAUUGAAAUUCUGGAAUAUAUGUGUGCGAGUAAGACCAUGGCAUCGAUAUGUGAUUCCGAUAUGUGUUUACGAGUAAGACCCUGUCUGGGAUAAUGGCAUCGAUAUGUGGUUGCAUGUAAGACCACGUCUGGGACGUUAGCGUUGUAUGAUUUAUGUUAUUAUCCGAGUGUCCUAUCCAAUUCCGAAUGGUUCAUCGGGUAGUGAUAAUCUAUAUUUGAAUAUGUUAAAUGAGCCAUGUGACAGGUAUGAAUUAAAUUGUUACCAAGUCAAGGUAAUGACAGUAAGUAAUUAAUAUUCGAUAUUGUAACACCCCAAACUCAGCGUAGACGUUAUGACCGGAUCCGGUGCGCCACAUCGAUGCGUUCAAAAAGUUCCGUAUUACUUAGGUUGGAAAACUUAGUUGGUGUUGCAAAAGAUACUUUUAAAAGUAGGUUAAAGUGAUUA